AUGGAGCAUGACGCGCCGCCCGUCCCCUCGCACCAGGCCCAGGACGACGGCACGGAGCCCCUUCCCCCUACGGCGCCGCCUCGGUGCAGCUGCUCGUGCGCGACCCUCAACUACGACGCCGCAUGGAUUGGGGAUAUGUACGUCGGUUUGGGUCUAGAGGGGCAAUCUUUGAGCAUUUGUUUCAACUAUCGGGGAUCUCAAGUUCACAUGGAUCGCCCUAUGAUCAAGUUUCAUUCUGGUGCUAUGAUGAUUGUGACAGAAGAUGUUUGCUGCAGAAGCAAUCGCUAUGUUUCAACUCCAAUAUUAAAAAUCAAUGCACCUGAAUUACUACACAAUUUUUCUCAUCUGGAACUGCGCUUAUAA
rnacentral:rRNA from 1 species